CGCGCAGGCGGCUCGUUAAGUCCAAGGUGAAAUCCCACGGCUCAACUGUGGGGGGACCCUGGAUACUGGCGGGCUGGAGUGCGGGAGAGGGAAGCGGAAUUCCACAUGUAACGGUGAAAUGUAUAGAUAUGUGGAGGAACACCGGUGGCGAAGGCGGCUUCCUGGACCGUAACUGACGCUGAGGCGCGAAAGCUGGGGGAGCGAACA
rnacentral:rRNA from 1 species